UUACGGCCACAUCACGUUGAAACACCGGUUCCCAUACGGUCACUGAAGUUAAGUAACGUCGAACCUGGUUAGUACUAGAUGGGUAAUCGUUUCGGAAUAUCAGGUGCUGUAAG